UACACUGCAGUGCUAGAGUCUAUGAUAGCCUACUAUUUGAUUGGGGAAAUAAGGCUUCACUUGCGGCCGGGUCAAACUUGAAAAACUUGUUAUCUUUCUCUCCAAUGUAAAGUCAAGUUCUCAAUGGUUUGCUUUGUGGUGACGCUGUUGACUUGUGCGCGCUUUGUCAAGGAGUGGCUCCGAUCGAAGCAGCAACCAAAGUCCACAACUCAAAAACACGCCUGUCCGGGCACACAGGAAAGAUCGCUGACAAAGUUUGUCACAUUUUAACACAGGUGUCCAGGAAGGAUUUAUCCUACAGAAACGACAACAGUAAGAAAUGGGUGCCACCUUUAAUAAGAAGUGUCUGGUGCUGAUUUUGCUCGGUGGACUCCUGCUAGCCCUGUUUCAUGCUUGGAGCCCUGGGACCGGCUCAGCAGUUGACAUACAGCCAAGACAGGGGGGUCUUCUGAAGAAAAUAAUCGAAGAGAAAACUCGAGACACCAUUGGUGACUAUCAUGACAUUGCCUACAAUAUAAAGGAAGAUGUGGCAGGUAAUUUGGCUCAGAAUACAUGUAUGUGUCUGGCCGAUAAAGAGAGCUUUCGCCUGCCGUUUUCCAAUCUGCUGUUCCCAAGCGUUAGGGCCCACAAGUUUGAUGAGGCGUUCUUAGCAUCCCAUCCUGACCCCGAGGGUGUGAAGCGUCUCAGGGCUAAGGAGUACAGCAGGUUCCUAA